rnacentral:lncRNA from 1 species
CCAGGUUAAGUAAAUAGUAUAUAUCACGAGAGAAGAGUUUUAACAUACUAGUGACGACAUCAAAAGAUGCAUCAGACUCUUGAAGGAUAGUAAGAGCGUACAAGAAAUUCUCUCCAAUGCCGGUAGUAGAAGUGGCUCCCUAUAGUAUAGGAGCUGAUGAUAUGGAAACUAGAACCUUAUUAUCCCCUGUAGUCCAUGGGGAAUCCUUCAACACAUGUCCCAUCUGG